rnacentral:rRNA from 1 species
UGAGGAAUAUUGCGCAAUGGGCGAAAGCCUGACGCAGCGACGCCGCGUGGGGGAUGAAGGUUUUCGGAUUGUAAACCCCUUUUGUGAGGAAAGAGAAAGUGGGUAACCACUUAGACGGUACCUCAAGAAAAAGCCACGGCUAACUUCGUGCCAGCAGCCGCGGUAAUACGGAGGGUGCAAGCGUUGUUCGGAAUUACUGGGCGUAAAGCGCGUGUAGGCGGCCUUGUAAGUCAGAUGUGAAAGCCCUCGGCUCAACCGGGGAAGUGCAUCUGAAACGGCAAGGCUUGAGUACGGGAGAGGGAGGCGGAAUUCCCAGUGUAGAGGUGAAAUUCGUAGAUAUUGGGAGGAACACCGGUGGCGAAAGCGGCCUCCUGGACCGAUACUGACGCUGAGACGCGAAAGCGUGGGGAGCAAACAGGAUUAGAUACCCUGGUAGUCCACGCCCUAAACGAUGUGCACUAAGUGUCGGCGGUUUACCGCCGGUGCCGCAGCUAACGCAGUAAGUGCACCGCCUGGGGAGUACGGCCGCAAGGUG